AGAGUUUUGAUUCGCUCUUUGUUGUUAAUGAUACUUACACUAUUGCAAACUUCCAAGUUCAGCUGAAUGAUCUGCUGUUCAAACCUUCUGCUCACAAGUACCUCCUUAAAUUUACUGGUGGGACCAAAGUUGGGGAUAGAAACGUGCAUCAGAUUCAGGAAAAGGCUUGCAGACUCACUCCUUUUCUUGAUAUUUUAACUGGGAAAUGGAAUAAAGAUCAACUUUUAGAUGUUAUCGGAGUGGUUGAUGAAAUUGGGUACACACAGGCCCAGGUUGGAAGUAAAAAGCAACAGGUCAACUUUGUCAUUCGCGACUUGAGCAACAACACUAUAACGGUUACGUUAUGGGAGGCGUACGCGGCGCAGUUUAUCAACUACGUUGAACAGCAGGUCGAUACUGCCAUUCCGGUUGUGAUUCUGAUUCAAUAUGCAAAAGUCAAAGAAGCUUUUGGCAAAUAUCCACUAUCUGUUACCAACACUUACAAUGUCACCAAAGUGGCUAUUAAUGAAGACAUGGAGACAAUCAAAC